rnacentral:lncRNA from 1 species
AUGUUUAAGAAAACCAAGAGUAAAGUGCUGGUGGAUUACGCGUCAGAGGAGGACGACAUGUCCUGGCACUAUCAUCACUCCUACAAGGACAAAGACAUAGAAGGAGAGGAAGAGGAUGAGGAAGCCGUCACUGCAGUCUCCAAGGUAAACAGCAGCUUCACAGCUAUUCAGACAGAACACAGACACAAACACACUAUCUGCUUCCAAACAUACAUCAGCUUACACAGUUUUACACGUGACGGUUGUCCCCUCAAAGAUAUGCACUCAGGCGACCCACACUUAUCUUUCUGUGCACACGCUCAGAACAUCGCAGGAAUCGACCCUGAAAGAGUCAAUCUUAUGUCGCCCAAAACAUCCAGAUGCUUUAAAUGGCCAAUGCUCUGUCAGUUCACACACGCACGCAUGCACAAGCUCAGUGUCACUGCACUGUUUAUCUGUAAACACACUAGCUGUCAGCCAUCAUCCCCUGUGUUAUCCUUAACCUUAUCGCUGGAGAACCGUCUGGGUUGUUUUGUCACUGUGCGCGUUUGUAAUGUCAGCCUUAUCCCGAGAAAGAAAAAAUUAGGUCAUUUUGAUCUUUCAGUGGACUGUUUCCUCUAUUUAAAUCACUUCAGUUCAGUCAUCUAAGGUAUCGGUUGUUAUUUUGUGGAAACCUCUGAUGUCAUAUCACAACAUGGUUUUGUAAAUAGUUUGAGCAAAGCAAACUUAAAAAUUGGAAUAUUUUCCAUUCAAAAGCAUGAUGCAGGUGCAUUUGUAGCUCAAGACCGCAGUAAUCACCAAAAGAAUUAACUCAGUGUUUUUUUUCCAUAUUCUGAAUGGAAAUUCUCUGCAAGGUUAACGUGGAGUUAUUACAAAGUGUCAUUUUAUACCACUUGUGUAAUAGAUUUUUAGUUUUGACAAUCAGUAUUUAUCAUAUUCAAGUGAAGUAAACACCAGAGAUGCUUCACUACAAGCAGAAACUCCUGAAGCGACUGGAAGUAGUGGCCUUCCCAUGAUGGUCUGGUAGCAAGGUGGUCAGUGGCCACUUUUCUGGGAAUCCUCUUGUUUUUCAUUAGGUACUUGAGGGUCACCACCAGCAUUUUGCCCCUUAACUUGUAUGCCUUGCCUCGAUGGAUCAGAGAAGAUAGUUAGUCUUCACUUGCAGAAGGCCAUAUUGGGCUUGCUAACUCUCUAGUGGCUCUUUUUAAUUCUUUACUUUCCUAACUGACCUUCUGCAGGAAAUCAUGCACUGUUCACAGCCAACUUUGACAGGAAAUGACACUGCGUGCCAUUCUUUGACAAAGGCCUCAUCAGCCAGAUUUUACUACUUGGCUUUCUGCAGAUCAUGAGAAAUGGACAGCGUGUCCUCCUGGAGCACAACAAGUUUGACUAGCGAAUUGGUUUUUGUGCACCUAGAUAGGAGAAUCACAUCUGGGUGGAGUGUUGCAUCUCCUAGUUAGAGGUGUGGUGCAAAAUGUGGGGCAGGCAGUUGUUGUUGCCUUUGAAGCCACGUCCCCUUCCCUUGGAGGCUGAUAGCCUCAAGUGGUGACAGCCUGGUGUUUAUUAGCUUUGACCCACUGGAAGUCCGUCCAUUUGGCAAUUUCUCUUACGGCUUUAUUCCACCUCCACCCAGUGCUUUGGGACAUCCAGUUAAGAUGUGGUUCAGGGUUUGACCAGGCCUGGUCCACACUGCAUACAGGUUGUGUAAUCAUAGUGAAGUUCAUUAAGAUCAUACAUUUAAAACCCCUAAAAUUAGCCAAACAUGUUCAUGAGAAAGCAGCAACGAUUAAAAUGUAUUACUGUGACUGUGUGUAAACAUCCAUCGCAGUUUGCACACGGCCUUCCUGGUUCAUUUGAAACUUCUAGUGCGCGUGUACAUUUUUUCUGUUUAAUAAGCAAGCAUCUUAAAACCUGUCUGACUGCUUAUAUUUGACUUUGUCCUGGCACUGAUACAUGUAGCACUAAUUACGUCAGUCAGAACUGUAUCCUCACAGCUCUUAGAAACAAUGACCAAAAUACUGAAUAUAAGAUUUAAGGAGUCACAAAUUAGCUGAACUGAAAGUGAGUCUGCUGGAGGAAAGCUCAUACCUGAUCAGCUAAAUCAGCUUGGUCAUCACUGCUGUAAAUAUAAUAAACAAUGGUUUUAUUAUGAGGGUUUGAGGACAUGUGUCCUUUGUCUGUGGAAGCGAGUUUUAUCUCAGCGCUCUGUUCAUCUUAUAAUCUGUGCUGACGGCGGGUCUUUACUCAAAGGCGUGCUGUGUGUGAACUUGUUAAGCUGAUUUGAAACCGCACACAGGUGAUGCAUUGUCUUUCAACCCCGGCUGGUCGCUCGCUUUAUUGUAUAGCCACUGUAUGUGACUUGGUUCACAGGACAUAUUUCAUACACCGUCCUGUUUGUGAGGACGGGGUGGCCGAGCUGGAGAAGGGAAGGAAACUGAGCAUUCUUUCGAGGAGCUGGGCUUUUUGGAGUGGAACAAUCAGUGUGGAAGAAAAACAAGGCUGAAAAUAGCCACAGACACUGUGGAAGGCUGCAGUUCUUUCACCCUCUGUUGUUCCAUGCUCAUAUUAGGACUCACUAAGUGCACAGGGAGCCCUGAAAGUGGAGGUUACCUGUUGCCGUUUCACUCUACGAUGCUUCAACAAUGUUCAUUAAGCUUAAUUAACAUGCUUUUGUACUUAAAAAUAGGCUUUCAUGGGCAGAUGCUUCUUUAUUUUCAGAACUACCACUCUGUCCUAUACAUUUUACCUAAUGCUAAAAAUAAUGAAUUGAAUAAUUAAUCAGUUAAUGAGUCAAAUGCAAAUUAAUGGACAAAAAUAUACCCCAAUGUCUAUCACAAGAGGCCUCUAAAACCACUUGUCUGCUUUCAGUCCAAAGCUAAGCUAAAAUAACCAGCUGCUGGCUUCAAUUUCAUGGAAAAUAUGUGAACAUGGGAACAUUUUAUUAUUCACUUUAUCAAAUUCAAACAAGCAUAUAUCAUAAAUAUUGUUGUUGUUUUUAUUUAUUUAUUAUUAUUUAAAGCUUUUUUUUGGUGUCAUUCAAAAAAGCAAAUCCACUAGAACUUUUCAAGGUAUUGCAAUUGACCCAUAGUCCUGUGUUUUCUCUGGGCUCUGUUUACAGAAUAUAAAGAUUGUAAAUUAUGCAUAAAAACAAGAUUGGGUUAAGAUAUGGGCUAAGAAGACAACCCUCACCUUGCAGAGGAGAGGUAGCACAGGACGUAGAGUGGGUUGUUUACUAAUUGGAUGGUCAGUGGUUUGAUUCCUGCAUAUGAAAGUUCAGUAUCUUGGUUUGUUUUUCUCCUUUGUGUGGUUCUCCCCCUUUAAACUGUUGCUUUUGGUGCACUGGACAGUUUUUUGAUCAAUUAUGAAAUUAAUUGGUGAUAUAAAUAAUGUUCAUAUGUAGCCCAAAUACACUGCAUGUAGCAGAGAGGCAGAGAAGUUGACAUCCAGCAACAAUACUAUAACUGGACCUGUGAAUAAAUACAUGUGGAUGAUCAAUACUGAAGCUAAGGGCUUCACAUAACCAAGGCCUGAUUGUGAGCUUAAAAAACCCCUGAAUUUAUCCCCAAUGUGUGCAAUUCAUGCAGCAAUCCCUCGGCUUCAAUGUCAGAGGUAUGGAAAGAAGAAUUUGGUCCAAUAACACCUCCAUUGUUCUGCCAAGCGUGAAGCUGUAGGUAAAGCUGUCUCACACAGAGAGUCAGCGAGCCAUUUGCUUUACCUUCUUGGCCAGUCACUGAGCUGCUUUGGAUCUAGAGGCCCAGAGGUUAAUGCCGAAGAGCACAGUGGCAGAAUAGGCAGGCCUCUAUUUGUGCAGGCAUGCAUGCAAGCACAUACACUCAUAUACGUCCAUUCAGAAAGGCUCCAACUCUUUCACCAUCUCUGGUUUCUUUGCUGGACAGCUCGAACUGCUUCUGCAAACCUUAUCCAGUUUACACUCGAUGGCACUCGGAGAACAAGAGCUGGGCAGUCAAGAGUUGAGACAGGGUGCUGAAACAGCUGAGAUUAGGUUUUGUAAAUGUUUUUUGAUGAUAAUAAACAACAGGAAACUGGUAGGGGGGCAGUUUGCCCGCAGGCAUGUUCAGGAUGAGAAGUGAGUGGAGGAUAUUUGGGGGGUUUUUUCUACUUAUAAUCAAAGAGACUUCCUCUGAGUGAGAUGCACAGGGAGAUAUGAUGCAUUUUCACUGAGUAAAGUGUUUAAAGAUCCAUCACAGAUAUGAGCAGGAUCUUAAGUAUUUGCAUGCGUCUGGGUUUACAGUAGUUUUAGAGCUGGUGGAGUCUAUGUAGUGGUAGUAUUGUAAAGUUUGUUUUAUCUGUUGGUGACAGAUCUUAUCAUACGUGUUCCUGUUUGGCUUUGGGAGACAACUGAUUUCAUAUCCAGCUCUUUGUUUGUUUGUUUGUAGCUGCUGGUGGCAUCCUCUGGUCAGAGAUCUGUGCAGGUACUGCACACAGAACCCUGAACUAAAGUCCUCCUUCAUAGGUAUGAGAACAAUAAAAGCAGUUGAAAGGUCAUGUCAGGGUUAAGCUCAUUAAUCAUGUAAUAUUGUGUAUACUGAGAAUGCACACUCAAGCAAAGGCGAGCACGGAUGUGAGUAGGAGUCAAGACCUUGAUAGCUGACCUUGGGAAUUCUUCCCAGGCGAGAAACAAAGCCAAAACUUUGUUCCGCGGUCGCUAAGGAUGGCUGCGUCAGUGCUUGGCGGAAAUCUGCGAGGGCAUGGCAGGGAGGAAUUCUGAUGUGACGGGGAGGCUGGGAUUUUCAGAGGGAGUGGAGGGUCUCCCGGUGGAAUGUGCUCUAUGCCAGUGAGGCCCAUAACAGAAAUUCCCCCCUCCCCAAUCCAAAAAAAUAAAUAAAAAUUGCACGUUAAUCAGUCCGAACAUGCUGCUCCUCUCAAUUCCUGCAAAGCCAACUUUGUGAAAUCCUCGUCUUCAGGGUGCAUCAAUCACUCACAAACAGGCA